CCUACGGGUGGCAGCAGUGGGGAAUCUUCCACAAUGGGCGGAAGCCUGAUGGAGCAACGCCGCGUGGGUGAAGAAGGUCUUCGGAUCGUAAAGCCCUGUUGUUAGAGAAGAAAAUGCGUGAGAGUAACUGUUCACGUUUCGACGAUAUCUAACCAGAAGGCGCCGGCUAACUACGUGCCAGCAGCCGCGGUAAUACGAAGGUGGCAAGCGUUAUCCGGAUUGAUUGGGCGUAAGGGGAGCGAGGGCGGUCUUUCAAGUCUGAUGUGAAAGCCCUCGGCUUAACCGGAGGAGUGCAUUGGAAACUGUGAGACUGGAGUGCAGAAGAGGAGAGUGGAACUCCAGGUGUAGCGGUGAAAUGCGUAGAUAUAUGGAAGAACACCAGUGGCGAAAGCGGCUUGCUGGGCUGUAACUGACGCUGAGGUUCGAAAGCGUGGGUAGCAAACAGGAUUAGAUACCCGAGUAGUC
rnacentral:rRNA from 1 species